UGGGGAAUUUUGCACAAUGGGGGCAACCCUGAUGCAGCGACGCCGCGUGAUUUAGAAGGCCUUCGGGUUGUAAAAAUCUUUUGUAUGGGAAGAAAAUGACAGUACCAUACGAAUAAGGACCGGCUAAUUACGUGCCAGCAGCCGCGGUAAUACGUAAGGUCCGAGCGUUGUCCGGAAUCAUUGGGCGUAAAGGGUACGUAGGCGGAUAAGCAAGUUAGAAGUGAAAUCCUAUAGCUCAACUAUAGUAAGCUUUUAAAACUGCUCAUCUUGAGGUAUGGAAGGGAAAGUGGAAUUCCUAGUGUAGCGGUGAAAUGCGCAGAUAUUAGGAGGAAUAACGGUGGCGAAGGCGACUUUCUGGCCAUAAACUGACGCUGAGGUACGAAAGCGUGGGUAGCAAACAGG
rnacentral:rRNA from 1 species